rnacentral:tRNA from 1 species
GCGGAAGUGGCGAAACAGGCAGACGCACCAGAUUUAGGAUCUGACGCCUUAAUUGGUAUGCGAGUUCAAAUCUCGCCUUCCGCA